GGGCCCGUAGCUCAAUUGGCAGAGCUACCGGCUCAUAACCGGUAGGUUCCUGGUUCAAUCCCGGGCGGGCCCA
rnacentral:tRNA from 1 species